rnacentral:tRNA from 1 species
UAGGGGCUGGCUCAGUGGGUAAGAGCAUUUGGUUUACAAUCACAAGUACCUGAGUUCUAAUCCCCAGCCCCUGU